rnacentral:lncRNA from 1 species
GGAAGCUACACCCUAAAGAAGUCAAAGCAGCAAGAUGGAAGUACCCUAAGACCCUGAAAAAUGCACAGAGAAGAAUCACCCGACUGGCUUGAACUUUCAUGUGAAAGGAAUGAACCUCUGUCUUAGUAAAGCCACCGUGAUUCAGGGUCCUUGUGAUAUUCACUGAGGCUGUAACAUAAUUGUUGAAAGAACAGGAGCGGGAGGGGAGAUGGAGUCGGAGAGGCAGGCAGAGGUCAGAUCACAUGGGGCCUGUAGGCCAAGGCGGAGGAAGAAACAGGUGACAUAGGACUCAAGGACCCCACCUGCUCCCAGGCGAAGGGAGUUUGCUGUGGGUGCCCCUCCCUGUCUGUGUGUCCAGUGUAUUCAUAUUCUUCAUACCUUGCCCAUAUUGGACAAAUACUUUUUUCUAUUCAAUAUUUAGAAGACAUUGCAUUAAAUAGCAAGAUGGCAGGUGAACAUCAGGAAGGAACAUUAGGAACAUCCACGGCGUUCCAUCCAGGAACCUUCACCGUGGAAACUCUUGUGCUCAUGGGCGUGGUCUCAAGACACAGUCAGCUGUUGGGGAUCAGAGGCGACACUCAUUGUAGCAGAGAGGCAGGACCAACUGGGAGAGGGUCCUUCUGUGACAACUAUUGCAUCACCGGGCUGUGUGAAGUGACUCAGCUGCCAGAACUCACACAAUAUCAUUCUACACCAAACCUCACGGGAAAAAUGACAGCACCUUGUCUCAUUUGAACAAGACAUCUGGAGCCUGGAGAUCCCAGGGCUGAUAUGGCAACAGUGCGAUGCCCCCCAUGGAUAUGGGGUCGUUCCAUGUUUCUUCCCUGCCUUCCUCAGCAUGUUAACCUUUCAGCUUCACAUCCGCAUCCUCAUGGUCACAAGAUGGCUGACAAGCUCCAGCUCUCCCAUCCCUAGAAAGACUUCAGCUGGCAAAGCAACGCAAAUGGCUGAGCGUCGAGGAUAGAAGUGGCUGAACAGCGAGCAGAGAAGCAACUGAGCAUCGGAGGUUGGAGAUAGAUGCAGCUAACUUCAGAUACUGUGGUUUUAGAGAGGGGCCUGGCCAGAGACGGCUGGGUUCCAGGGACAGACCACCUUCCCAUCCCCUUUCCAGCCUCCCUUUCCACUGAGAGCUGCUCGCUGCUCAAUAAAG